UACGGGGGGGGUAAGCGUUGUUCGGAAUUACUGGGCGUAAAGGGCUCGUAGGCGGCCAACUAAGUCAUACGUGAAAUCCCUCGGCUUAACUGGGGAACUGCGUGUGAUACUGGAUGGCUUGGAUUUGGGAGAGGGAUGCGGAAUUCCAGGUGUAGCGGUGAAAUGCGUAGAUAUCUGGAGGAACACCGGUGGCGAAGGCGGCAUCCUGGACCAAUAUUGACGCUGAGGAGCGAAAGCCAGGGGAGCAAACGGG
rnacentral:rRNA from 1 species